rnacentral:rRNA from 1 species
GUGCACCAGUCGCGAAAACUCCGCAAUACGCGAAAGCGUGACGGGGCCAUCCCGAGUGCCGUCCGCUGAGGAUGGCUUUUCCCUAGUGUAGAUAGCUGGGGGAAUAAGGAGAGGGCAAGUCUGGUGUCAGCCGCCGCGGUAAUACCAGCUCUUCGAGUGUUAGGGAUGUUUAUUGGGCCUGCAGCACCCGUAGCUGGCUGUGCAAGUCCUCCGUUAAAUCCAGUGAUUUAAUCGUUGGAUUGCGGGGGAUACUGUUCGGCUAGGUGAUGGGAGAAGCCAACGGUAUUCCCGGGGUAGGGGUGAAAUCCUAUAAUCUCGGGAGGACCACCAGUGGCGAAGGCUGUUGGCUAGAACACGUCCGACGGUGAGGGAUGAAAGCUGAGGGAGCGAACCGGAUUAGAUACCCGCGUAGUCA